ACGGGCCAAGAGCUUACCGGCUGAAAACUCUAGAAGGGAACCCCAUUCUUCGGACCUAGAAUGCCGACAACCUAAAGUUGUAUCACCAAUGAACUUUGUACCUGUUCAUUCGGAAUACAAAUUCAGUUCUAAAUUUCGGAGUCUCAACUCUUCGACUAAUGAUCGGCGCUCGUCGAGAAGUACGAGUCCCGACGUCCCGACUCGG
rnacentral:lncRNA from 1 species